GAUGAAGAACGUAGCAAAAUGCGAUAAGUAAUGUGAAUUGCAGAAUUCAGUGAAUCAUCGAAUCUUUGAACGCACAUUGCGCCCGCCAGUAUUCUGGCGGGCAUGCCUGUUCGAGCGUCAUUUCAACCCUCAAGCACAGCUUGGUGUUGGGACUCGCGUUAAUUCGCGUUCCUCAAAUUGAUUGGCGGUCACGUCGAGCUUCCAUAGCGUAGUAGUAAAACCCUCGUUACUGGUAAUCGUCGGCCACGCCGUUAAACCCCAACUUCUGAAUGUUGACCUCGGAUCAGGUAGGAAUACCCGCUGAACUUAAGCAUAUCAAUAAGCGGAGGA
rnacentral:misc_RNA from 1 species